GGGGAUAUAGCUCAGUUGUUAGAGUGCUUGGCUCACAUGCACAAGGCUCUGGGUUCAAUCCCUAGUAUCUCUU
rnacentral:tRNA from 1 species